GUGCACCUGUUUGGUGAAGCGAGAGGAUAGAUGGUAGUAGUACCAUAUAGGUGGCGGGAUCGGUGGUAGCCAACACGCCCGCAGAAGAUAGAAGAUGGCGAUGCCGGCAGCAGCGUUGACGGUGUUGCUGUUGCAGCUCUGCUUCUCGGCCUCGGCAGUGGCUCAGGUCACCGGAGCUGCGCCGGGCUGCCCGACCAUCUGCGCGGGCGUUAGUGUGCCGUACCCAUUCGGCGUCAGGGAGGGGUGCUACUUGCCGGGCUUCAACCUCACCUGCGACCGGGCGCUCGGCCGAGAGCGGCUGCUCAUCGGCGGCGCCGGCGGCACCCUCGAGGUCGCUGAGAUCUCGCUGGCCAACUCCAUGGUGCGCGUCAUGGACACCGCUGGCGCCGUGAAGCUCACAGGCAGCGGGAACGGCACUGGCCUCGCGAGGCUCGCGUCCAGCGGCCAGUGGGGCGGGCUCGGCGCUGACGCCUUCGCCGGCCCGUUCGUGGUGUCGGGGACGCGCAACCGGUUGGUGGUCACGGGGUGCAACCAGCAGGCCACGCUGCUCGGGGAAGGCGGCAACGUCAUCGUCGGUUGCUCUGCCUUCUGCCCCGUCACCGACACGUUCCUGAGCACGAUCUCCCCGGAGGAGGUCGCCGCGUGCGCCGGUGUAGGCUGCUGCGAGACGCCCAUCCCCAUCGGCCGCCCUUCCUACAGCGUGCAGCUCGCGGGGCUGGACCUGAACCAGGAGAUGGACCUCCAGCUGCCUAUCGCGGUGCGCAUCGCCGAGACUGGCUGGUUCGAGGGCAACUCCGCCGGGCUGCUCAACAAGUCGCUCCAGGACUCCUCCAGCACGACGGCGAUCUCCGUGGUGCUGGAGUGGGCGGUGGAGUCCAAGCGGCUCCUGCAACCCCAGGAUACAGCGACGGGCUGCCCACAGGAGGCGGCGAGGAGCGUGUGCCGGAGCAGCCGCAGCACAUGCCUCAACGUCACCAACAGCUACCGCACUGGCUACGUGUGCCAUUGCGAGGAGGGCUACGAGGGCAACCCAUACCUCGCCGGCGCCGGCGGAUGCCAAGACGUCGACGAGUGCGCGAUGCCCGGCAAGUUCAUGUGCUCCGGCGUGUGCACCAACACGCCCGGAGCGUACCAGUGCCGGUGCCCGCCCGGCUCCCGUGGCAACCCCCGGAUCAAAGAUGGCUGCGUGAAAUCAUCUCUAGGUCUGGGUGUCGGCAUAGGAAUCGGCUGUGGUGCUGGCCUUCUGCUCCUGGUACUUGGUGUCUUUUUUGUGAGCCGGACGCUGAAGCAGCAGAGGGCAAAAGUACUGAAGAAGAAAUUCUUCAGGCAAAACAGGGGACAUCUGCUGCAGCAAUUGGUGUCGCAGAAGGCGGACAUCGCUGAGAGGAUGAUCAUCCCCUUGGUGGAGCUGGAGAAGGCCACCAACAACUUUGACAAAGCUCGCGAGAUCGGCGGUGGAGGGCAUGCACGGUGUACAAAGGGAUCAUGUCUGACCUGCACGUUGUGGCGAUCAAAAAGUCCAAGGUCGUCGUCCAGAGGGAGAUCGACGAGUUCAUCAACGAGGUAGCAAUCCUCUCGCAAAUCAACCAUCGACAUGUGGUGAAGCUCUUCGGGUGCUGCCUCGAGACGGAGGUGCCAUUGUUGGUGUAUGAAUUCAUCUCCAAUGGGACCCUUUAUCAUCAUCUUCAUGUGGAAGAGCCUGAAGCAUCGUUGCCAUGGGUGGAGCGCCUGAGAAUUGCCACGGAGACUGCGAGAGCUUUCGCGUACCUUCACUCAGCCGUGUCAAUCCCUAUAGUCCACAGGGAUAUCAAAUCUCAGAACAUCCUAUUAGAUGGCACUCUCUAGCAAAGGUGUCAGACUUUGGAGCUUCGAGGUGCAUUCCGAUCGAUGAAACAGGGGACGCAACUGCCAUCCAAGGGACAUUUGGGUAUCUAGACCCCAUGUACUACUACUCCGGACAACUUACCGAGAAGAGUGAUGUUUAUAGCUUUGGCGUUCUCCUCAUGGAGCUGCUAACGAGGAAAAAACCAUGCUCAUAUCGAUCAUCUGAGGAGAAAAGCCUUGUUGCAUAUUUCACUGCCUUGCUCGCGACAGGCGACCUCGCCAGUUUGUUAGAUCCUCAGGUUGCGCAGGAAGGAGGCAAGAUGGUUGAAGAGGUAGCUCUAUUGGCAGCGGCAUGCGUGAGGAUGGAAGGGGGCCAACGGCCAACCAUGAGGCAAGUGGAGAUGGCACUCGAGAACCUUCGAGUACCCCAUGAAAAUGUCGCGAUGUCUGAUAUGGAUGCACCAAGUUAUGCAAUGAUCGAAGGUGGAAGAAUGGAGGAGGUGAGCAGACAAUAUAGCCAAGAAGAAGAAUAUUUGUUGUCAUCAAGAUACCCGAGGUAGUGACUGUGUUCCUGUGUGAUAUGCACAUGGAUCAAAUGGCUUGUAUGCUUUAUGUUUUUUCUUCUUUUUCAUGUAAGGAAAUAGUGAGGCUUGUAUACAGCAAAGAAGACAAGCAGGAAUAGUAGCAUGAUGAAUGCAAGAAAAAAAAAGAAUAGGAAAGAUAAGACCAUUGGAUGGCAACGAAGGGACGUUGAUCGGGUCAGUCAAUACAUGCAUGCAUGCGGCCAACUGGUUGUGUGCAAGUUGUGACUAGUCUAUGCUAACCGAUUGUCGUUGUCCUAUGCCCUUGAUUGGGGUGGCAAUAUUACAGGCCCAAAACAGAGAGACGACGCGGGACUUGCAUAGUAAAGUCGAUGCAUGCACCUUGUGAUUGGAUAGAUAGAUAUGAGUUGCUUAAUUAGGAUUCUCUAUCAAGUGGUAGCAAGAGGCCAUGAGUAAGCAGUAGCACACACUUGCAUAUACUCACAUCGACUCAUCUAUAUAUAUAUAUACACCA